AGUGAACGCUGGCGGUAGGCCUAACACAUGCAAGUCGAACGGCAGCACAGUAAGAGCUUGCUCUUACGGGUGGCGAGUGGCGGACGGGUGAGGAAUACAUCGGAAUCUACUUUUUCGUGGGGGAUAACGUAGGGAAACUUACGCUAAUACCGCAUACGACCUACGGGUGAAAGCAGGGGAUCUUCGGACCUUGCGCGAUUGAAUGAGCCGAUGUCGGAUUAGCUAGUUGGCGGGGUAAAGGCCCACCAAGGCGACGAUCCGUAGCUGGUCUGAGAGGAUGAUCAGCGACACUGGAACGGAGACACGGUCCAGACUCCUACGGGAGGCAGCAGUGGGGAAUAUUGGACAAUGGGCGCAAGCCUGAUCCAGCCAUACCGCGUGGGUGAAGAAGGCCUUCGGGUUGUAAAGCCCUUUUGUUGGGAAAGAAAAGCAGCAGGUUAAUACCCCGCUGUUCUGACGGUACCCAAAGAAUAAGCACCGGCUAACUUCGUG
rnacentral:rRNA from 1 species